GCUAGCUAACGUUACACGUCACUUUGCCAUUUAUGCUACAACACAAUUACUUAUUUACAACGGACGUCCGUUCAUUCAUGACUGAACUGGACUAACGUGUUAGCUAGUUAGGGAACUGAAUGUGCGAAUGAUACAGCGUUAACGUUAGCUAGUAUGCUAGCUAGCAAGCUUGAUUGAAACAUCAGCCAUUGACAGAGAAACUAUUCCAGCUUGGCAAAAACAGCUGGAAGGGAGCGAGUCGAGACUUCUCAAACUCGCGAUACAAAACCGACAACUCGCCGGAGGUCUCCAAUGCAGUCUACGCGAACUAGGCACAGUAAUCGUCAUCAGAGCACGCAUGCGCACCUCGUCUGCCCAGCCCUGCUGGUUGUGCGAGCACGGCGCUGACCGUGGAACAGUAUCAACUUAUAAGCAAUACUUGCCCAGACAAUUGUGAAAAUCACAAAGCAAAUGAAGUUUGAGCUACAAGUUGAGACACUUCAGAUACCUAUUCCAGCACAGCGUGGCUGCUUACAGUGUAUGCACUUUCAGUCAGGUAAGGCCAGCGUGAUUGGACUGCAUUCCUAACAGGUCUUGUGAAAGGUAAGCAAAGUUUUGCACCAGCAUACAAUCUCUUGUCCGAUCAUCUUCACACAUCACUGAUUUUAGCUUCAUUGUACCAACUCAGCCCUGGGCUUGAACAGUCAUGCUUACUGCGGUAUCCCUGUUACACUAAAAUGGCUGCCACUCUAAGGACUUGGGAGAGAAACUAAAGAAGCGGUGGCCUGUAG